rnacentral:misc_RNA from 1 species
GAUGAAGAACGUAGCGAAAUGCGAUACUUGGUGUGAAUUGCAGAAUCCCGUGAACCAUCGAGUCUUUGAACGCAAGUUGCGCCCGAAGCCAUUAGGCCGAGGGCACGCCUGCCUGGGCGUCACACGUCGUUGCCCCCCCAUCUACUCCUUCGGGAUUGCAGGGGGCGGAUGAUGGCCUCCCGUGCGCCUCGCCGCGCGGUUGGCAUAAAUGCCAAGUCCUCGGCGACGCACGCCACGACAAUCGGUGGUUGCGAAACCUCGGUUGCCCGUCGUGUGCGGUCGUCGCGCAUCGAGGGCUCGAAAAAAUUGCCGGGUUCCGGCUCGGCUUUCAACGCGACCCCAGGUCAGGCGGGGUUACCCGCUGAAUUUAAGCAUAUCAAUAAGCGGAGGA